UCCUGGUUAACCCAGGCAGUCUCAUUAGAGUUCCCACCUUAUAUGUUGGCAACUAAUGAUAAGGGUUGCGCUCGUUGCGGGACUUAACCCAACACCUCACGGCACGAGCUGACGACAGCCAUGCAGCACCUGUGCACCGGCCCCGAAGGGAGCUAUCAUUUCUGAUAGUGUCCAGUGCAUGUCAAGACUGGGUAAGGUUCUUCGCGUUGCAUCGAAUUAAACCACAUGCUCCACUGCUUGUGCGGGUCCCCGUCAAUUCUUUUGAGUUUCAGCCUUGCGACUGUACUCCUCAGGCGGUAUACUUAUCGCGUUAGCUACGGCACAACCAGGGUUGAGUCCGGUUACACCAAGUAUACAUCGUUUAGGGCAAGGACUAC
rnacentral:misc_RNA from 1 species